GCUCUGACAGCUAUGCACUACUGUACCGCAGAGCAAGCAGUGCAAUAGCAUUGUCAAAGCCU
rnacentral:pre_miRNA from 1 species